rnacentral:misc_RNA from 1 species
GAGCGAAAGAAAAGGGAAUCAAACCUCCGAGGUCAUCUCCCUCUCCCUCUCCCCUCAAACACGCACACGCGCGCGCACCCUAUAUCAUCACACAUACACGAAAACGAGCGGGCCAAAACAGAAAGACGCACAGACGCCUGUUUGGUGCGUGCGCGCGCGAGCAGAGCUGCCGCCGACACAGCCGUGCGGCUGACAGCCUCUCUCUUUGCUGGCCGAUCUCUCUGCGUGUGCACGGAUUUCGUGCAAGUGCAUUCCUUUUUCUGUGUGUGGACAUCGCCACGCAUCAGCCGUUUCCGUUGCUUCGAUAGCACGACUGCUGUUGGCUGUUGUGGGGCUCUGUAUAUCAAUUUGAAGGUAACACGCGCACUCCCUUCCUCUCUGCGUCUCUGCACCCCUGUCUGCGUCUGUGUGUGUGUGUGUGUGCCUGUCUGUCUGUGUGUGUCUCUCACAUAGCGGCGUUGCUUAUUCGACUUGUGUGCUGGACAUCCUGCUUGACUUCGUUGUUCGUCUUUUUCCUUGUCGUUGUCCCUCUCUAUAUAUUUUAACUUUUCGACGCCACCCCCUUUAUUUUGUUGUUUUCUCGUUGUUCUUUCUCGUGUUGCCCUGUUCUGCGUGCGCUCGUUGCUGUCUUCUUUCUUCGUUGCGUGUCUGCCACUCUCUGUCUUCCUGCGAAGUGUGCUGCCUUCUUCGGCUUGCGCCUUUCCCACACUUCUCUCUUUUUCGUUUCUGUCGUGCUGUUUGGCAGUUGUUGUUGAGCCGGCGCUGUGCACCAGAGUUGUCGUGGUCUCUGCUGCCUCUAUUAGGCGUUCUUGGGUACGCCUAUCUGUCUCUCUGUCUGUGAGCGUGGGAAGGCAUUACACGGCUCCUGCCGUUUUCCCUCUCUCCCCCUUUUUGUGUUUCGCGUCUCCGUAAUCUGUGCCCCCUCCCCUCUUGUGUGAUCACUCCGCCCCCGCACCGCUGCGUGCUCGCGUCGCUUUUCUCUCUACCACUACCUCCGCGGCUAUUUUAUACAUAUAUAUAUAUAUAUUAUAGUAUAUAUAUGUAUGUAUGUUUGUUGACUACGAACGCUCUCUGCCUGCCUGUCUGUGAGUUUCUCGCGGUCGAUUUCGGUUUCCUUUUCUGUUUUUUCGGGUGCGUGUAUCUUGGCACUUACUCGCCUCCUUUUUUUUUAUUUUCAUUUUUCUUGGUCCCUCUUUCUCUUUUUGGCCGAUUAUCCUGGCGCCACUUUGCGGUUGCUGUCGUUCUCGCGGUUGCUGGUACGCUGGAGGCGCUCGUUCUUGUCGUUUUACGCUGACGACUCCGGGUAACGGGGCCGAGAGAGAGAGAGAAGGAGGAGGAGGCAUCAUACCUUUGGCGACGUAUCACUGCCAUCUGUUGCAAUCCCCUUUCCUUUUUUCCUUCUUGUUUUUGGGAUCUGUCUUUGCGCGAGUGCGUGCGCCCAUCACGUUACUGUCGACAUCAGCGUCGGCUCCCAGGUUUGCGUCUUCGGUUUUUUUUUGUUUUCUUUAGCGUCCUCUCUUCCGCAUCCUUGUCCCUCUCUUCGUGCCGACGCCAGGGCCUCGUUUUCCAUAGCACAACAAGGGCGCGGAAGACACAGCAAGCGCGAGAGGAAAGAGCAGAGUUGCUGUUGCGCCCAGCAUCGCUCUUCUCCGUUUGCCUGGCUGCCUCACAUCCACCCCUCACCACCACCACAUCUACCUUGCAUUCAUUCGGCAAACAUACACACAGCAGCCGAAACAACAACCUCCUCCCUCCCUCCCCCACACACGAAAAAAAACGCGCGUUUCUGUGUCUGUGUGCCGGCGUCCUCCCCGCGCUCACUCUCAUACGCACACACUUGCGUACCUUUUUUACUCUUCCGAGGCGCUCCCCCUUGCCGGCCCGUCCUCUUUUCUCAGCACCGACGCAACACCAGGGGAGAGAGGGGGCGCGCAAAACAAAGAAAACAACGAAAAACGGCGGACGGCGUAGACGGCAAGAGAGAGGCAUCGCAGAGGGAGAGAGCAGUCCUAAAAGAAAGGUGUGAGAAGGCGAGAAGAGAAUACGAAGCCGAAGAAAGCGAAGAUAAGCCGCGAACACACAGGACGACAUCAAGGAGAUUCGUCAUCACUGAAGCCCCCCCUCCUCCUCCCCUCCCUCUACAGAAUUCAGGCUGCUUAACAGCAAUAACAGAAAUAACAGCCACGAUACACACACACACACACGCAACGACUCCGCAUCGAUUAACUAAGCAGGCGAGGGUUUUAUCCCUUUUCUAUUUUUCGUUUCUCCCUCUUUUCUUUCGUUUGGUUGGCGCUCGCCUCCUCCCCUCCUGUGUGUGUGUGUGUGUGUGUGUCUUUUUACCUCGCUUGCAGCCGCACCGGUUGCACACAACGUCAUAGUCGUUGGUAUGAUAUAUAUAUAUAUAUAUAUAUUGUGUGUGCGUGUCUGUUCAUUUUAUCUUGAAUUUCGCUGCUGUCUCCUAGUCGUGCACACCAAGCCAAGUCAUUGCUCCCCCCCCCCCCGACACACACAUACCCCAAACAAACAGCCGCAAGUGUACACGACCAUCAAGACCGACCAGCAAGCAGAGGAGGACUUAAAGAGGGGUAAGAGAGAAAGCGAAUAAGCGUUUCCUCCUAGAGAGUGUGGUUGGUUGCCUGACGCAUCGCAGCAGUGUAGCUGCUGGAAGAGAAGUAAGGUGAAGAGUGAAGACAGUUGCAUCGGCGUCCGAGGAAAACAGGCGCACCGAGAGCGAAAGCAGAUAUUCAGUGGGGACUGACGAGGAGAAGUUCGUCGACUAACAUCAGUUACCCCCUCACCCUCCCCGCCCUUGCAUUACUGACCUUUGGCUCGACCGAGAGGAAAAAAAGGGAACUUGCGCCCAAAACGCCCAUCCUUUUCGCUUACUGCCACACUCCUUUCUGUGUUUGCUGGCUCAACACUGCGUAGCGUGUGACUACUUUCUCGCUGUGCCGGCUUCCCCUCACCCCCUCUCUUUCUCUCCGCGCCUUCUUCUCCCUUCACCUCCCAAACCACAAUAGCCGUAUUCGUUUCUUCUCGUGCGCGUGCUUGUGUCCGUCUGUGCCGUUGUCAUCAUCGCACACGCACACAGACGCCCCCCUCUCCUCCUCCUCUUUGCCUGCCUUUGCUGACUUUACGCCUUUGUAUUUUCUUCGUUCCCUGCCAUUCCGUACGUACGUAGGCCACCUCCUCUGUCGUCGUGGUCACGCCUCAGCCCUCUCCUUCCAUUUUUUCUUCAUCCCUAUAGUUUGGUCUCUCUCUCGUCCUUCUCCGUCUUUUUUUUUUUGUUUGGGUCCCCGAGUAGUUUUUGCAUGGUUGUACAUCUCUGCGCCAUUCUCCCCUCCCUUCCCCAAGCCCAUCAAUAUCUGUGUAUACUUCACGAACCUUUUCCACUCCUCUCCUUCCCCCUUCUCUGCACACACUCGCUCUCUACUGUGCCCCCAUCCCCUUCUUCGUUUUCUUUUUUCUAUAUUUUCUGUUUCUCUUGCUUGUCCGUGUCUCUGUGAAUCGCUGCUGCUGUCGCAAUCUUACUCGUGCUUGCAUUGUCUCUGUCUGUCUGUCUGUGUGUGGCGCCUCACUUCCCACGCUUUUUGUUUGUUUCUCUUCCACCGGAUUCCCGUCCACUUAUUUCCGUCGUUUCGUUUUAGGACAUCUCCCCCACACAAACUCACCCACGCGGCCCCUCUCACGUCUCCUCGCAUCUUUUCUUGGCCUCUACCUCCGACUUCCUCUCUUACCUCAAGCUUCCUCCUCGUCGUCGUUUUUUUUUUUACUGCUCUGUCGUUCUACAACUCUCCCCAUCUUUUUGCUCGCUCUUCGGCCGUGUCUGUUUCUUCGUGUGGGCGUUGCCGUCGGGGUUUGUCAUCAUCAUCGUUGUUGCGGUGGCUGUUGCUGUGGUUGUGGUUGCUUCUGCGCUACGCUCCGUCAUCAUUGCGUUCUCUGUUGCUGUUUUUUUUUUUCUUCGUUUCUUCUGCAUCUCUCUUCUCUCUCUCUCUCUCACAAUUUCUUGUUCGUGUUGUGAGGCUGUCCACCUUCCCCCCUCUUUCUUCCCUGCCCUCGUCUUCGACUGGUUGAUUCAUUGACGCAACUCCGGGUUCUCGCCUGCGUGACUUCGCGUUAUCUUCGUUUUCCCACUCGCUUACUUCUCGCAUUUUUCUUUCCCUCUCGGGCUCCGGUCGCUGUUCCUCUUUACUGUUGUCGUUGCGUGUGCGUGAGUGCGUGUGCCCCAUAUCACGAGCAGAUUUGCAUCCGCGCGCGUGUCUCGUUGAAUUCGACUGACUUCUUUUUUUUUUGUCUGUCUUAUCUCUCGUUGAUACGGUCUCUCUUCUUCCCUCCACUUUCUCUGGCAUCAUUGUCUUUUGUGUUUCUUUUCUCCGCUCGUGCCGUUGUGCUUGCACAUACACCCGCAGACACGCGCAGGCGCACCGACUGCUGCCUCUCCCACAUCUGUGGCAGCAGCGUAGAAUCGGAUCGACUGAGAAAGAGGAAAGCCGCGAAGAGAACACGGCGCUCUAGAGUACGCAGCCGAGUCACUGGCGCACACUAACGCGCGCGUAGUGUCCUGCACGGCAGUGCUCUGCCUAUAAGGCACUGCUACCUGCCAUUCCUCCCUUAGACACAUAGCACCGUCAUACAAGGGCGGCAGCAUAUAUAUAUAUAUAUAUAUAUAUAUGCGAUAUGGAGGCUAGCGGUACCCUGCGAAGCAGCGGUGACUCGUCACCGAUUGUGGCGUCUACUGCCGACGCCAGUUGCGAUGCAGCGAUGCCAGCGCUGCGAAAAAGUAUUGUCGCAGCAGCAGGCUCGAGCAGCAAGCCCGGCUCCCCGAGCAGCAGUCUCGGAAAUGUCAGCUUGCCCGAUACGCACUCCCCCCGAACCCAGGACCUCGGCGGCGGUGAGAAGGACCGCCUGUGGCUGCCGGACUCACUGCACAACGUCGCUGAAGCAACAGCCACAACAUCACCAAAUACGGCUAGUCAUCCGCCUGCCCGACUUCUCCAUCACAGAGACUCCUUCAUAUCUAUGCACAGCACCGACGCACCCUCAGCAGCGGUUCCACUCACCUGCAUGAGCUCGCCGCCGUCCCCGCUGGCGAGGGCGGAGUGCCUGCGCGCGAGUGAGAGCGAGAGUUUUGACACCGGCAACAUGAACAACGUGGGAGGCAGCCGUGCGUCCACGAAGCGGCUGCGCUCUGAUCGCAUGCAGGCAAUCAGAGCUACCUCCGCAGCACCGCCAUCGCGGCUGCGGCGCAGUGCUUCGCUACCAACAACCGGAUGCAAUGGCAGCCACAUCUUCAGCGCCCGACUUUCCACCCCGUCUGCUGCCGGUGGCGCAGGCGGUGGCACAGGGUCUUGCAGCUCACCCACUCCACUCAGCGAACGCAGCGGUAAAAAGAGCAGCAGCAGAAGUAGUCCUCAGCCUCCAACAGUUGCGACACCGCUGUUGCAGCGCGCACCGCACGCGCAGGACACGGCGCGCGCCAAGGGAGGUGAUACAUCGCAUGAUGGGGGUGGCGCGCAGUUCUCGACGCGCCAGCUCGGCUAUCUGUCGAACUCCGAGCUCUCGAACGCGCCAGAUGGCAGCGAACCGACUCCCUACACUGCGGGCGCGUCGGCGAGCAGCAGCCCCACGGCGGCACAGUCAUCGCCGCCACCGCUGCCAUCAUACACGCUGCCAGUGACGGACGACACUCACUGUCAGGACAACGUUUUGGCAGGUGACAUGGGCGACGCCACGGCCGUUGUCGCACCCGCCAGGAAGCGCAAGAAAAAGAAAAACAAGAAGAAGAAGUCGGCAGCAGCGGCAGCGGCCGGCGCGGUCGAGGGAGAGGACGCUGCCAUGUCAGCGGCGGCGGCUGCUGGUGCUGCCGGCGGCACGGGCACUCCGAUCGGCGGCAGCGCCACGGUGAAUAGCGCCGUCCCGGCGACUGGCUCGUUGCCGCUGCCACCUAUCCCGAUGAUGCCCGGAGGCGGCGGCAACUCCAGUGGGGUCGUCCCUGGCGCAUUCUUGAGCCCUGGCUGUAGCCAGGGCCACGGUAGCGGCGGCAGCGGUUCUCUGCUGUACAGCAACCUUCCGCAGCCGCAGUUUCAUCCCCAACAUCUCGGCGGAGCACGCGGGCAGUUCGUGAUGAUGUUCAAUGGUGCGCAAGGCGGCGAUGGUGCAGGCGACCCGAUCAUGAUGGGUUACUCGAUGAAUGGCGGCGCUGGUGGCAUUGAUGGCGGCGGCGGCGACUACACGAGUGCCGGCACAGCUGUUUGUGCGGGGGGUGAGGGCAGUACUUACGGUCGAGGGGGAUCGGCAAUGAUGAUGGUGCCUAUGAUGGCCUCCAACUACCACCACCACCACCACCACAGCCGCCAUGAAAGCAGCGGGUCGGGUGGGGCGUAUGGUUACUAUCAUGGCGGGAUGAGUGAUUGCGGCAGAGGAGGAACCGCCGGCAUGUCGCCUGCGCAUACACAGAUGGGCCAUCAGGGUGUGGGGCGAAACCUGCAGGAGGAGCAGCGGCAACAGCAGCACGUUCAACAACAGCAAACACCGUAUCCCUAUCCACCUCAGCCCGUGCUGAUGGGCAGUGACGGCAGUGCUGGUAGUGGCUCGUAUCCAGCGAACAGCGGCCACAACCGCCACGGCUCGGCGCACCGCAGCGGUGGUGGCAACAGUGGCGGCCCGCAAUACUCUUCGCAGCCACAGCAGCAGUAUCAGCAGCAGCAGUGCUACUAUCAGAACCUUCGCUACAACUCACAGCCUUACUUUCAUGGCGGCGUCUCCUCCACGACCGGCGCUGAUGCGAAUGCGAUGCAGGGAGGGCUGAUCAUGGCAACAGGUGAGGGAAGCAGUGGCGCUGAGGGCGGUGGCCGCGGCGAGUGCGCCGGCUUCUCGAACACCCAGGGCCAAUCCAGCGGCGGCGUCGGCGGCUCGAUGCAGUACAAUGGAGAGGAUGCCGCGAGCCGGGUGCCGUCGCAGGUGCCCGUGGAGGACAUGGUGCCGGUGCCUCAGCAACCCCAGCGCAACGUCAGCUUUCGACCUCCGAUGCCAGCGGCGAGCGCGUCUGGCAUGUCCUACUACCCACCAAACAGCGCCGCACCGGCAACACUGGCGGCGGCUGCCGGUGCCCCCAACAACGGCAGCGUGAACAGUAGCUAUGUAAGCUGCGGCAGUCGUGGAGGUGUGUCGGGGUCGAUGAUGGCCAGGGAUGGCGGCGCAGCGGUGAACGGUGAGGCGAGGUUGCCGCGAGAGGAGGUGAUGACGGCGGACCUCGCGGCGGAUGCGGCGCCGCGGUCGCUUUUUCAGUUCACGCCCGAGGUGAGCCCGCGCCUCUGUCGCCUGAUCGAGCGCGAGCUGCUGACAUACUUGACGCCGUCGCUGGCGUGUCUGCAGCGCCGCCGCAGUCAGUUGGAGACGCUGGCUGGGUACAUCACAGCCGCGCUGCGCCACGCGGGCCGACAGACCGGCCACGACUAUGGCGACAUCUCCUACUACAUCUUCGGCAGCGUGAACAUGCGCACCGUGCUGCCGGACGGCGACAAUGACGUGACGGUGGAGGUUGACGGCUUGGUGGCGAGGGAGUCGACACUGACGCCUCCACCUUCGCCUCCGCAGCCGCUGUCGUCAUCUUCGCUCAGCGAUGGAGGUGGCGCUGCCUUGGACGCUUCCGCUAAAGCGGUCAUGCUCCCUGUGACGACCGACAGCAGCACCGGCAGCGUUGAUGGAACGAUGCAGCUAACGACAACCACGGACGGCUGCCCGCGUCUUGUGGCGCCAGCGGUGCUGAGCAUCGCGUCCGGUGAGGUACUCGGCCGCGUGCGGGACUACCUGCGCAGCUUCAAGACGCCUGUCUUUGUCGAUUCCUUGGUGAUGGCAGAGGUGCGCGUGCUGAAGCUGGCGAUGGAGGGGUGCAACUACGACAUCACUAUUGGCCAAUUUGGCGGUGUCAACUGCGUGCGCUUCUUGCACGAGAUGGACGCAGUGAUCGGGGACCAGCACGUGCUCAAGCGCACACUGCUGCUCCUCAAGGCAUGGUGCUGUUACGAGGCCCACAUCUUGGGUGGGCAAGCCGGCUACAUCGGCUCCUACGCGGCGACAGUGAUGCUGAUCUCGAUGUUGAACACGGUGGAAUUCCUCGAGGACGCCGACGCUGGGCAGAUUGACAGUGAUGGUGACGGCACGGCCGCAGCGGCGGCGAGGGCGGCCGUGACGUUGGACUCCCUGAUGAGCGGCGACAGCACCGCGGAGGAGGAGGAGUCUUUGCUUCAGAAUCCCGCAUCCUCGUCCAGUGCACCGGUGACCACGGCGGCCAAAGCCUCCACCACGAAGAGGACCAAGGCGGACCAGGAGGGUGAAGGGCUCCUAAGCGAUAUUACAAGCUCGACGAGCAGCAACCGCGGCGGCCGCUGUCACGAUCGUGACUCUGCCGGGCAGCCAGGACCGUCACCGUCCCGCCCUGCGGGCCGUGACACCACUGCCGCGUCGCCGCGCCCCUUGUCGCCGCUGACUCUGUUCGCGCGCUUCUUGAAGUUCUACGCUUAUUUCGACUUCGACCGGUAUUGUGUGACAGCCUUCGGCCCACUGCCGCUGCACAAGAUCACCUCAACUCCGCUGGACCUUAGCUACCUCGAGGUGGAUGCGGCGCACAGCAAACCGCUGGAAGGUGUUGCUGCGUCGAACCGCGCGGCUACGGACUUGUCCUUUCUCGGCUUGACCCCGGAGGGUGAGGCGGCGAUUGGCCAUCUUGUGCGCCGCCGCCAGCAGCCGCUGCUCACCGUGAGCGGUGUGAAGCACUUGCUGGACCAGGUGAACCGCUCGCGGCGUGCAGAGCGCCAGGCACGGUACGAAGCACACCAACAGCCAGCGCAGCGACCCGAGCAGCAGACGGAUACCAACGCUGCGCAAAAUGCAUCGGAGCACCGCAGCACCAGCGCUUCUUCUCUAGUGCAGCUGAACCGCCCCGGGUGCGCCGCUGAGGACGCCGGUCUGAUGUGCCCAUCCUGCAACACUGCCGUCUUCCCUGUUCGUGACAUGAACGUGCUGGACCCGCUGCGGUGGAGCAGUAACAUGGUCCGUGGGGUGUGUCGCAACCACCUUCAGCGCAUUCAGCGUGCGUUCCUGGAAGGGCUUCGACUCUUGGAUGUGGCGUCGCAGGAGCUCGGCGGAGACAUGAUGCAGAUGGACGUGACGAGCGUCGGCGCCUCAGCCAGUGCGGGCCGCACCGCCGGUGGUGUUGGCGCGACUGGACGCCGAAGAGCCGGGGCUGCCGCCGCAAAAGCUGCCGCGUCGCCGACGUCGCAGUGGUCUGCUUUCAGUGCCGCGAGCAGCAGCAGCCGCAGCUGGACCGACAGCGCCGCGAACGGUGUCGCCGGCCAAGCACGCGUUCAGCAGGGCGCGAUGAGCGGCGCCUCAAUGUACGGCUCCCCAGGGAGCGCGGUGGAGGCCGGGGGCGAUGGUGUUGGAGAGGUGCAGCUAUGCCCGGGCUACCCUGCGCCGCACUCGCAGUGCACGCUUCGUGAGGCGGGUGUUUUGGAAAUGCUGUUUCCACGCACCAUUGAGGCUAUCCGCAAGCACAGUCACCUUAACUGCCCAUGGGGCUGCGAGGGGGCGGAUGCGGCGGCGCUGACGGGAGUGCCGCAGUGCGCGGGCUGCACAAGGCCCUCCCUGCUGUGCACACCGGCCAUCCGCCGCAUGUGCCAGCCGCAGCUCAUCUUCCACCCCUCCAGCACUAGCGAGGGCAGCAACACGGCUGCCACUGGGGGGAGGCAGCCAAAGCAACUGCAGUCGACAAGCGGUAAGGCCACAUCCUCGCCCACCUCCACUGCCACGCCGCAGCAGUCGCUAUCAUUGGCCGUCUCUCCCACGCAGAGCAAACAUCAUCAAGGUCCAGGAGGGCGGCGUGGCAACGCGGCGGCGGUGGAACAGGUGGUGAGUGAACUGGAGGAGGCAUUCGCUGGCCAAGACACGAGCGAAGAAGCCCGUAACGGUGGCCCGCUCGGGGAGGCGAUGGUGCCCGUGGCGGAGCAGCCUCUGACACGUGACAGCGCGGCAUGUGGCGCGACUGGUUCACAGCCGCCACCGCCGUCAUCGUCCACGGCCUCCGCGUCGCCGCUUCAGGGCAAUGUCUACGGCCCGGGCGCGGCAGAGGCCACGAUGCAUCAUCAUUCACACCAGAUGUACAGCCCCGGCGGAGCGUGCAACAGUGGUGGCGUCGGCGGUGCGUACCUCUCGGCCUACCCGGCGAUGCCGCUUUCGGCUAGCAUGCCUGAGGAGAAGUACUACGCCAUGCACGUUGGUGCUGCUGCAGGGGGUAGCGCUGGUGGCGCCGGCAGUUCCGGUGGGUACGGCCUCUCUCCUAGUCAUCACGGCAAUCGCAACAUGGGGCCACCGUCACAGCAGCACCAGCAUCACCAUUACGCGCAGCAGCAGCAGCACCAGCACCAGCACCAGCAUCACGCUCAGCAAGCGCAUGUACGUAUCGGUUCCAUGUCCUCCUCGGUGAUACAAGGCAGCUACAACGCUAACAACGGAGGCGGCACCGGCAACCCGGGCCACCGUACCUACGCGACCAACCCAACGGUACCAGUUCCGAUGGAGGGCAGUGGGUUUCCGUCCUACGGCGGACACAACUACGCCCCCGCUGUGCGUCAACAACAGCAGCAGUACCCCUAUCAGCACCAGCAACAUCAUCACCACCGCGGCGAUGAUGGCACUAUGCCACACAGCAGCGGUAAUCACGGCUACAAGGGUGGUGGUAGCUGCCUGCACAACAUAAACCAUCACGGCAACAACAGCAGCAGCGACUCCAGCGCCCAAGCGCUGCUGCUGCAGCGGCUGUAGAUGAUUGUGAGAGGGGCUGUCAGGUAAGGCGGAGAACAGCGCGGGGCAAGAUGCUGCUGAGGAGGGGGGGGGUGCCCCAGGCUCUGGUGUGGAUCUUUCUAUGCGUUUGUGUGUGUACCUUCGCGGUGGUGUGACGGUGCCCGCAUCCAUACCUUCCCUCCCCUCGUCCCAACCGCACCCGAGUUACUUUUCCGUUGCUUUCACGCCGUUGUUGUGCCAUGCGCAACAUGCUCCGCGGCAAAUAGGCUGAACUCUGUCUCAUGCUCUUAUUAUCUUCGGUGCUCGUAUGCGCUCGUGUGUGUGAGAACAGCGUUCGGUGGGAGCGGCCCCAUCGCCGGCAGCUGCGGCCCAUUUCGAGCGUUGUGUUCAUGGUUCAGGAAGCGACAUGUUAGGCUCCUUUGUUUUGCUGUUGUCCUCCGCGACAAGGAAC